GUGAGGAAUAUUGGUCAAUGGGCGGGAGCCUGAACCAGCCAAGUCGCGUGAAGGAAGAAGGAUCUAUGGUUCGUAAACUUCUUUUGCAGGGGAAUAAAGUGCAGGACGUGUCCUGUUUUGUAUGUACCCUGAGAAUAAGGAUCGGCUAACUCCGUGCCAGCAGCCGCGGUAAUACGGAGGAUCCGAGCGUUAUCCGGAUUUAUUGGGUUUAAAGGGUGCGUAGGUGGUUUGAUAAGUCAGCGGUGAAAGUUUGCAGCUUAACUGUAAAAAUGCAGUUGAAACUGUCGGACUUGAGUGUAAAUGCGGUAGGCGGAAUGUGUUGUGUAGCGGUGAAAUGCAUAGAUAUAACACAGAACACCAAUUGCGAAGGCAGCUUACUGGGAUGCAACUGACGCUGAGGCACGAAAGCGUGGGGAUCAAACAGGAUUAGAUACCCUGGUAGUCC
rnacentral:rRNA from 1 species